rnacentral:rRNA from 1 species
AUGAACGCUGGCGGCGUGCCUCAUACAUGCAAGUCGAGCGAACAGACGAGGAGCUUGCUCCUCUGACGUUAGCGGCGGACGGGUGAGUAACACGUGGAUAACCUACCUAUAAGACUGGGAUAACUUCGGGAAACCGGAGCUAAUACCGGAUAAUAUAUUGAACCGCAUGGUUCAAUAGUGAAAGACGGUUUUGCUGUCACUUAUAGAUGGAUCCGCGCCGCAUUAGCUAGUUGGUAAGGUAACGGCUUACCAAGGCAACGAUGCGUAGCCGACCUGAGAGGGUGAUCGCCCACACUGGAACUGAGACACGGUCCAGACUCCGACGGGAGGCAGCAGUAGGGAAUCUUCCGCAAUGGGCGAAAGCCUGACGGAGCAACGCCGCGUGAGUGAUGAAGGUCUUCGGAUCGUAAAACUCUGUUAUUAGGGAAGAACAAAUGUGUAAGUAACUAUGCACGUCUUGACGGUACCUAAUCAGAAAGCCACGGCUAACUACGU